rnacentral:rRNA from 1 species
CGAAGGGUGCGAGCGUUAAUCGGAAUUACUGGGCGUAAAGCGCGCGUAGGUGGUUCGUUAAGUUAGGAGUGAAAGCCCCGGGCUCAACCUGGGAAUUGCUUCUAAAACUGGCGAGCUAGAGUAUGGUAGAGGGUGGUGGAAUUUCCUGUGUAGCGGUGAAAUGCGUAGAUAUAGGAAGGAACAUCAGUGGCGAAGGCGACCACCUGGACUGAUACUGACACUGAGGUGCGAAAGCGUGGGGAGCAAACAGGAUU